UAGGCAACGAAAGUUUGGUUACUGCAGAACAGAAGCGUCUCAAUUAGUAUACUUCUGUACUUCAAGCACACUCGUUCUAGUUGUACGCUGCCCGCUCUGCUUGCAGUAUGGCUCAGAGACGCUGACGUUGUUUAAUUGAGUACCCUGACACACAAGGGUGGAGUUUGAGACGCACCACACAGUGCUUUCGCACGCAGGCAGCAACCAGGGUAACUUUCAAGGACUUCCUCUGGAUGGUGGCAGAUUGACAACCUCACAUCAGUGAACAUGAAUCUCAUAACUGAUUGGAAAAAUAAAUAAAGUUUUGCACACAAUGUGUUUGUCUGUGUACUUGAAUCACUUCAUAGUAGGCUAGUCUAUAUUGUAUUAAAAAUGGUAAUAACUAAGUAAUUGAGUGGAAAUAAGAAAUAAGACAUUUUAAGACCAUGAAAAUAUGUAAUUUCCAUAAAAUUGAGUGGAAUAGGUGAUAAUGCAUUUUACGGCCCUGAUUCUAUCUUAUUUCCAUAUAACUACUCAAUUGUUUACAAGGUAAUUAAGCAGAAAUAAUACAAGGAUGCUUGGGUGGUCGUUUCUAUGCAAUAACAUAGGAAGAGGAAGUAUUGCACAUUACGGCCCUGAUGUAGCCUAAUUAGUAUGAAACUA